rnacentral:lncRNA from 1 species
CCAAGUGUACAGAGUCAGGAAACAAUUUAUUAAGGGCAGGGUCUGGCUUUAGCUGACAUGGUAGAAAAGCACCUCACCGUGCAGUGCUGGAGAGUCUUCAGGUACAGAUGCUGGACUCUAGAGCAGCUCUCAUUGCUGCAAAUGAAACAGUCAGAAAUUAGAUGGGAAAUGUAAUUAUAGAAAAUUCAGGAUUAGUGGACACGAAGCAGCCUUGGUGAGGGUCUGUGGUUCACAUAGUCUAUUAUAGCCACCUAGGCUUCUGGGAGGUUAAUCAACUGCUGGAAAAUGAGUUAGCUCAGAAGCACUGCUACUGAGCCACUGCAGCUGCACCAGGCAGUGCAGAGGGGGCUAAUGAAUGCCCCAAGGUCCAGUAGGGUGGCAGGAACGCAGUUGAAUCAUGGGGAAACUGUGACAUCACUGGGUGGACUCAUAGCAGAGACUGAAAGGAAAAGUCUUAGUCUUCUGGAAAUCCCCAGCUGAAUACUGUGCAGGGAGGGAAUAAUACUUCUACUAGCUCUUCAAAAGAAGGGUACCAUAUAUGUACAUAGUCUCGUGUCACAGUUAAAAGGAAUAUUUCCAUCUUACUCCUUGUGCAAGAAUGUUCAAAGCAGGAAUGGCAAAGGUAGACAUCCAAAUGAUAGUGCUGCUCAGGGAGAAACUUAUGACUCAGUCUUCCUGGAAUUUACAAAAUUUACAUCCUCCUACUUAUUCCACAUUGCAGCUUUUUGUCACGUUUAUUCUUAGCAUCCUGAAUACAAAAUGUACAUGGAAAAAAGGGAGAGAAGCUGGUUGUCACAUUACCUCCCUUCACCUCCUAGUGACUACUUCCUCAAUAAGGAUUAAAAAAAAGGCAUUCUUACAGCUGGAAAACCCCAGGGUCCAGUUUGGAGCACCCAUCAUAGUCAAGAGCUUGUAGCUGGUUAGAUCAGCUGCUGCCCAAAUACUGUCGCUCUGGAUGUUCUGAAAAAAAGGCUUUUCCACUGAAAUCUGUUAUUGCCUCCUUGCAAAAUGAGAAUGACAUAUUUUCUCCACACUAGUUAUUUGAAUGAAUAGUCUACUAAGAUCAGGACAGUGUCCAUGAGACAAUAAAUCAUCCAUUUUGCUCA